UACGAAGGGGGCUAGCGUUGCUCGGAAUCACUGGGCGUAAAGGGCGCGUAGGCGGCCAUUCAAGUCAGAGGUGAAAGCCCAAGGCUCAACCUUGGAAUUGCCUUUGAUACUGUUUGGCUUGAGACCGGAAGAGGUUAGUGGAACUGCGAGUGUAGAGGUGAAAUUCGUAGAUAUUCGCAAGAACACCAGUGGCGAAGGCGGCUAACUGGUCCGGUUCUGACGCUUAGGCGCGAAAGCGUGGGGAGCAAACAGG
rnacentral:rRNA from 1 species